GUUUCAUUCUCCUCUCUCUAGACUUGUGUGUGCGUGCGCGUGACUCCAGAUUCUAUAUGGGUUUCCUUUUUCUCUCUCUAGUCUCUACAGAGAAUUGGGGAUUUGAGGGCACGGAUUGAGAUUAAAUUAGAAACCAUGACAAGAAGAAAAAGUCUGUUGACCUCUUCUCUCCUAUUAUUCCACUGGCUAUCCUUUACUGUUAACUCCACUUCCUCUGACACGUGGAUGUCGGCAGAGCUUGACCCGUGGGGUUUUUAAUAGCUUUUGGGACCCUACCCUCCCGCCAACUGCGCGCGCGUGUUGAUGAUGGGUCUGAGAGACGAACACGAAAUUCAAGGACAGCUAAAUGAGGAUGAAGUAGGAGAUAAAUAAGAGUUCACACCCUUUUAAAUUUGUUGUUGAAGAUUACUUCUUUGAAUU
rnacentral:misc_RNA from 1 species